UGGGGAAUUGUUCGCAAUGGGCGCAAGCCUGACGACGCAACGCCGCGUGGAGGAUGAAGACCUUCGGGUCGUAAACUGCUUUUGAACAAGAGAAAACCCCGGUACGUGUACUGGGUUGAUAGUAUUGUUAGAAUAAGCAUCGGCUAACUUCGUGCCAGCAGCCGCGGUAAGACGAAGGAUGCAAGCGUUAUCCGGAUUCAUUGGGUUUAAAGGGUGCGUAGGCGGACUGAUAAGUCAGUGGUGAAAUCUCUCGGCUUAACCGAGAAACUGCCAUUGAUACUGUUAGUCUAGAGUACAGAUGAUGUGGGCGGAAUAUGACAUGUAGUGGUGAAAUACUUAGAUAUGUCAUAGAACACCGAUUGCGAAGGCAGCUCACAAAACUGUAACUGACGCUGAGGCACGAAAGUGCGGGGAUCAAACAGGAUUAGAUACCCAUGUAGUCCCUGAGCGGGCUGGCAAGGCGCAU
rnacentral:rRNA from 1 species